GGGUCUAUAGCUCAGUUGGUAGAGCACCUGACUUUUAAUCAGGGUGUCGAAGGUUCGAAUCCUUCUGGACCCACCA
rnacentral:tRNA from 1 species